rnacentral:rRNA from 1 species
UACGUAGGGUGCAAGCGUUUAUCCGGAAUUAUUGGGCGUAAAGAGCUCGUAGGCGGUUUGUCGCGUCUGCUGUGAAAACUGGAGGCUCAACCUCCAGCCUGCAGUGGGUACGGGCAAACUAGAGUGCGGUAGGGGGAGAUUGGAAUUCCUGGUGUAGCGGUGGAAUGCGCAGAUAUCAGGAGGAACACCUAUGGCGAAGGCAGCUCGCUGGGACGGUACUGACGCUGAGGCGCGAAAGCGUGGGGGAGCGAACAGG